rnacentral:rRNA from 1 species
UACGUAGGCAGCGAGCGUUGUUCGAAGUUACUGGGCGUAAAGAGUGCGUAGGCGGUUUUCUAAGUUUGGUGUGAAAUCUCCCGGCUUAACUGGGAGGGUGCGCCGAAAACUGGAAGGCUUGAGUAUGGGAGAGGUAAGCGGAAUUCCUGGUGUAGCGGUGAAAUGCGUAGAUAUCAGGAGGAACACCUGCGGUGUAGACGGCUUACUGGACCAUAACUGACGCUGAGGCACGAAAGCGUGGGUAGCAAACAGG